rnacentral:lncRNA from 1 species
CCCACCCCAAUAGGAUCUGGUGGAAGAAAAGUCAGGCAAACACCACUGGGAGAUCAGAACUUCUAGCUGGCUCUCUGCUGCCACAGCUCCACCAAAAGGGUGGGGAGGAAGAGGAACAUUGACCCAGAGCUCAGAGGAGAGGCAGGUGUGCUCAGGGCAGCCCCAGUUACUGGCCACAUGAGUGAAGCAUCUCACGGCUGGGAGGGGACAAGAGCCAGGUCCAAAUGGUCGGAGAAGUCAUGGAUGGAAGUGGGAACCCGAAGCCAGAGGAGAAGUCUUGCGCCUUCACUGGCCCAUGAGCCCCACCUGCUGCAGAAAGCACAGGGCUGGAUAAGGAAACUGCCGCUCAGACAGGACCACAGCACCCCUUAACAGGGCCUUGACAGAGUCUGGGGCAGACUGGACGCCUUAACACAUAAGCGGAGACCCCUGAUGUCCCUGCUUCCAACUGCACUCUGCACUCCAAGAAAAGAGAAAGUGAGCAGAAUGACUUGCAGACGUCUGGGCUUAGAAGAGAGAGAAGGGAGGGAAGAGAAGGUGACAUCUUGAUGUCCAUGGGGACAGCUCUGGGGCAGGGCACCUGUCUGGGUUAAGCCAUGGGGAGG